CCUACGGGAGGCUGCAGUGGGGAAUAUUGCACAAUGGGGGAAACCCUGAUGCAGCGACGCCGCGUGAGUGAAGAAGUAAUUCGUUAUGUAAAGCUCUUUUAGCAGGGAAGAAAAUGACGGUACCUGAGUCAGAAGCCCCGGCUAACUACGUGCCAGCAGCCGCGGUAAUACGUAGGGGGCAAGCGUUUUCCGGAUUUACUGGGUGUAAAGGGAGCGUAGACGGCAGUGCAAGUCUGGAGUGAAAGGCGGGGGCUCAACCCCCGAACUGCUCUGGAAACUGUACGGCUGGAGUGCAGGAGAGGUAAGUGGAAUUCCUAGUGUAGCGGUGAAAUGCGUAGAUAUUAGGAGGAACACCAGUGGCGAAGGCGGCUUACUGGACUGUAACUGACGUUGAGGCUCGAAAGCGUGGGGAGCAAACAGGAUUAGAUACCCCUGUAGUC
rnacentral:rRNA from 1 species